GAUGAACGCUGGCGGCGUGCUUAACACAUGCAAGUCGAACGGAAAGGCUCCUGCUUGCAGGGGUACUCGAGUGGCGAACGGGUGAGUAACACGUGGGUGAUCUGCCCUGCACUUCGGGAUAAGCCUGGGAAACUGGGUCUAAUACCGGACAGGACGAUGGUUUGGAUGCCAUUGUGGAAAGUUUUUCGGUGUGGGAUGAGCUCGCGGCCUAUCAGCUUGUUGGUGGGGUAAUGGCCUACCAAGGCGUCGACGGGUAGCCGGCCUGAGAGGGUGUACGGCCACAUUGGGACUGAGAUACGGCCCAGACUCCUACGGGAGGCAGCAGUGGGGAAUAUUGCACAAUGGGCGCAAGCCUGAUGCAGCGACGCCGCGUGGGGGAUGACGGCCUUCGGGUUGUAAACUCCUUUCGCUAGGGACGAAGCGCAAGUGACGGUACCUGGAGAAGAAGCACCGGCUAACUACGUG
rnacentral:rRNA from 1 species